UACGUAGGCAGCGAGCGUUGUUCGGAGUUACUGGGCGUAAAGCGUGCGUAGACGGUCGCGUAAGUCAGAUGUGAAAGCCCCGGGCUCAACCUGGGAACUGCAUUUGAGACUGCUCUGCUCGGGUGCGGAAGAGGGAAGCGGAAUUUCCGGUGUAGCGGUGAAAUGCGUAGAUAUCGGAAGGAACACCAGUGGCGAAAGCGGCUCCCUGGUCCGACACCGACGUUCAGGCACGAAAGCGUGGGGAGCAAACAGG
rnacentral:rRNA from 1 species